GUGCAAAGAGACAUUUGGGAAUCCAUUGAAGCCCAUCGGGAAAAACUGAAUAUCCCCAGAUAAAAACUAGAAAGAUGAUAUCUGUGAAACUACUUUGUGAUCUGUGGAAUCAUGUCGCAAAUUAAACCUUUCUUUUGAUUCAUUAGGAAACACUCUUUUUGGAGAAUACAUUUGCCAGCCAAAAGAGACCUAUGGUGAUAAACCACAAUUCCUCAGAUAAAAACUAGAAAGAAACUGUGUAACUGCUUUUUGAUUUGUGGAUUCAUCUUACACAGUUGAACUUUCCUUUUUAUUCAGUGGGUUGGAAACACUCUUUUUGUAGAAUCUGUUAAAGGACAUUUGGGAAACCAUUUAGGCCUAUAGUGAAAAAUCGAAUAUCCACUGAUAAAAACUAGAAAGAACUUAUCCGUGAAUCCUCUUUGUGAUGUGUGGAUUCAUCUCACAGAGGUAAAGUUUUCUUUUGAUUCAGCAGGUUGCAAAAACUCUUUUUAUGGAAUCUGUGAAGGAACAUUUGGGAAUCCAAUGAGGCCUAUGGGGAAAACAUGAAUAUACCCAGAUAAAAACUGGGAAGAAACUAUUCGUGGAACUGCUUUGUGAUGUGUGUACUCAUCUCACAGAGUUAAAACAUUCCUUUGAUUCAGCAGUUGGGAAACACUCUUUUUAUAGAAUACACGAAUGGAUACUUGGGAGUCAAUUGAGCGUAGGGGAAAAACACAAUAUCCCCAGAUAAAAGCUAGAAAGAAGUUAUCUGUGAAACUGCUUUGUGACAUUUGGAUUUAUCUCAGAGUUAAAAUUUUCUUUUGAUUCAGCAAGUUUGAAACACUCUUUUUGUAGAAUCUGUGAGGAGACAUUUGGGAGCCCUCUGAGGCCUAUGAGGAAAAACCAAAUAUCCUCAGACAAAAACUAGAAAGAACCUAUCUGAGAAACUCCUUUGUGAUAUGUGGAUUCAGCUCAGAGAGUUAAAGUAUUAUUUUGUUUCAGCAGGUUGGAAACACUCUUUUUGGAAUAUGCAAAGGGACAUUCUGCAGUUCAUUGAGUAAUAAGGGAAAAAAGGGGUAUUCCCAGUUAAAACUAGAAAGUGGUUAGUUAUCCAUGAAACUGCUCUGUGGUGUGUGGAUUCAUCUCACAGGGUUAAAACUUUCUUUUGAUUCAGCAGGGUAAAGACACACUUUUUGAAGAAUCUGUGAUGUAACAUUUGGGAGCCCAUUGAGGCCUAUAAGGAAAAACUACAUAUCCCCAGAUAAAAACUAGAAAGGCGCUAUCUGUGAAUCUGCUUUUUGAUGUGUCGAUUCAUCUAACUGAGUUAAAACUUUCAUUCAACACAGCAGGUUGGAUACACUGUUUUUGGAGAAUGUGCAAAGGGACAUGUGAGAGCCCAUUGAGGCCCAUGGAGAAAAACAGAAUAUCCCCAAAGAAAAACUAGAAAGAAAAUACCUGUGGAACUGCUUUGUGAUAUGUGAAUUCAUUUCAGAGCAUUAAACCUUUCUUUUGAUUCAGUAGGUUGGAAAAACUGUUUUGGAAAAUCUGCAAAGGGACAUUUGGGAGUCCAUUGAGCACGAUAAGGUAAAAUCAAAUAUUUCCAGAUGAAAACUAGAAAGAAGCUAUUGGAGAAAUUAGAUCAUGAUGCAUAUAUUCACCUCACAGAGUGAAACCUUAAUUUUGAUACAGUAGUUUGGAAACACUCUUUUUAAAAGAUAAGGGAAGGGAUAAUUGGGAGCCCAUUGAGGGUUAAGGGAAAAACCAAAUAUCCAAAGAUAAGAGCUAGAAAAAAUCUAUCUGUGAAAAUGCUUUGGGAUGUGUGGGUUCAUCUCACAGAGUUAAAGCUCUUUUUGAGUCAGUAUGCUGGAAUCACUCCUUUUCUAGAAACUGCAAAGGGCCAUUUUAGAGGCAAUUGGGGUCUAUGGGGAAAACCUGAAUAUUCCCAGGUAAGAACUAUAAAGAAGUUAUUCAUGAAACUGCGUUGUGAUGUGUGGAUUCAUCUCACAGAGUUGAACCUUUCUCUUGUUCAAGCAGGUUGGAAACACUCUUAUUGUGGAAUAUGUGAAGUGACAUUUAUGAGCCCUUUGAGGCUUGUGGGGAUAAACUGAAUAUCCCCAGAUAAAAACUAGACAGAAGUUAUCCUUGAAUCCACUUUGUGAUGUGUGGAUUCACCUCACAGAGGUAAAGCUUUGUUUUGAUUCAGCAAGUUGGAAACAGUCUUUGUAUAGAAUAUGUGAGAGGAUCUUUGGGAGCCCAUUGAAGCAUAGGGGAAAAACUGAAUAUUCCCAGAUAAAAACUACAAAGAAACUCUCUGUGAAACUGCUUUGUGAUGUUUGGAUUCAUCUCACAGAUUUAAACUUCUUUUCUUUUGAUUCAGCAGGUUUGUAACACUUUUUUUUUUUUGUAGAAUCUCUGAAGAGAAAUUUGGGAGCCCACUGAGAGCAUUGGGGAAAAACAGAAUAUUCUCAGAUAAAAACUAGAAAAAGCACUAUUUAAAACUUCUUUGUGAUGUGUGGAUUCAUCUCACAGAUUUAAAUCUUUCUUUUGAUUCAACACCUUGUAAAAUCUCCUUUAUAGAAUCUGCAAAGGGACAUUUGGCAGCUUAUUGAGGACUAUGGGGAAAAACGGAAUAUCCCUAGUUAAAAACUAGAAAGACACUAUCUGUGAAACUGCUUCAGGAUGUAUGGAUUCAUCUAACACUGUUAUACCUUUCUUUUGAUUCGGCACAUUGGAAUCACUCUUUUUGGAGAAUCUACAAAGGGACAUUUAGGUGCUCAUUGUGGUCUAUGGGGAAAAACAGAAUAUCCCCAGAUGAAAACUAGAAAGAAACUAUCUGUGAAGCCACUUUGAGAUGUGUGGAUUCAUAUCACAGAGCUCAACCUUUCUUUUGAUUCAGCAAGUUGGAAACACUCUUUAUACAGAGUAUGUGAAGGGACACUUGUGAGCCCAUAUGGGCCCUUGGGGAAAAAGUGAAUAUUCUCAGAUAAAAACUAGGAAGAAGCUAUCCAUGAAAUUACUUUGUGAUGUGUGAAUUCAUCUCACAGUUAAAUAUUUCUAUUUGAUUCAGCAGGUUGGAAACACUCCUUAUGUAGAUUCUGUGAAGGGAUAUUUGGGAGCUUAUUAGAACUAUGGGGAAAAACAAAAUAUCCCCAGAAAAAAAUGAGGAAGAAACUGUCUGUGAAAAUGCUUUGUAAUGUGUGGAUUCAUCUUACAGAGUGAAACAUUUCUUUUGAUUCAGCAGGUUGGAAACACUGUUUUUGGAGAAUCUGCAGAGGGACAUUUGGGAUCCAAUUUUGGUUUAGGUGGUAAAACGGAAUACUAUCAUAUAAAAACUAGAAAGAAGACAUCUGUGGAACUGCUUUGUGAUGUGUGGAUUUAUCUCAUAAUGUUAAGCCUUUUUUUUUAUUCAUCUCAUAGGAAGCACUCUUUUUAGAGAAUCUGUGAAGGGACAUUUUUGUGCACGAUGAGGCCUAAAUCAAAAAAAACCUGAAUAUCCCCAGAUAAAAACUAGAAAGACACAAUUCAUGAAAUCAUUUUCUGAUGUGUGGAUUCACAUCACAGAGUUAAACCUUUCUUUUGAUUCAGGAGGUUGGAAUCACUGCUUGGGAGAAUCUGCAAAGGGACAUUUUGGAGCCCAUUGUGGCCUAUGGCAAAAUGUGAAUAUCCCCAGAUAAAAACUAGAAAGAAGCUAUCUGUGAAUCUGCUUUGAGAUGUGUGGAUUCAUCUCACAGAGCUAAAUCUUUCUCUUGAUUUAGCAGGUUGGAAACACUCUUUUUGGAAAAUCUGCAAAGGGACAUUUUGGAGCCUAUAUGGGCCUAUGGGGACAAACUGAAUACCCUUAAAAAAAAACUAAGAAGAAGCUAUGCAUGAAAUUGCUUUGUGACGUAUGGAUUCUUCUCACAGAGGUUGGAAACACUCUUUUUGGAGAAUCUGAGAUGAGAGAUUUGGGAUCCCAUUGUGGUUUAUGGGCAAAACGGAAUACUCUCAGAUAAAAACUAGAAAGAAGCUAUCUAUGAAAAUGCUUUGUGAUGUGUGGAUUCAUCUCACAGUGUUAAAACUUGCUUUUGGUUCAUCACGUUGGAAACACUCUUUUUAGAGACUCUGUGAAGGGACAUCUGAGUGGUCGAUAAGACCUAGAUCAAAAAAAUUAAUACCCUAGAUAAAAACUAGAAAGAAGCAAUCUGUGAAACUGCUUUGUGAUGUGUGGAUUUAUCUCACAGAACUACAACUUUCUUUAGAUUCAGCUGGUUGGAAAC
rnacentral:lncRNA from 1 species